rnacentral:rRNA from 1 species
AUUGAACGCUGGCGGCAGGCUUAACACAUGCAAGUCGAGCGGGGUGAUGGUGCUUGCACUAUCACUUAGCGGCGGACGGGUGAGUAAUGCUUAGGAAUCUGCCUAUUAGUGGGGGACAACAUCUCGAAAGGGAUGCUAAUACCGCAUACGUCCUACGGGAGAAAGCAGGGGAUCACUUGUGACCUUGCGCUAAUAGAUGAGCCUAAGUCGGAUUAGCUAGUUGGUGGGGUAAAGGCCUACCAAGGCGACGAUCUGUAGCGGGUCUGAGAGGAUGAGCCGCCACACUGGGACUGAGACACGGCCCAGACUCCUACGGAAGGCAGCAGUGGGGAAUUUUGGACAAUGGGCGAAAGCCUGAUCCAGCAAUGCCGCGUGUGUGAAGAAGGCCUUCGGGUUGUAAAGCACUUUUGUCCGGAAAGAAAUGGCUCUGGUUAAUACCUGGGGUCGAUGACGGUACCGGAAGAAUAAGGACCGGCUAACUACGUGCCAGCAGCCGCCGUAA